GGCGAACGCUGGCGGCGUGCCUAAUACAUGCAAGUUGAGCGCUGAAGGUUGGUACUUGUACCAACUGGAUGAGCAGCGAACGGGUGAGUAACGCGUGGGGAAUCUGCCUUUGAGCGGGGGACAACAUUUGGAAACGAGUGCUAAUACCGCAUAAAAACUUUAAACACAAGUUUUAAGUUUGAAAGAUGCAAUUGCAUCACUCAAAGAUGAUCCCGCGUUGUAUUAGCUAGUUGGUGAGGUAAAGGCUCACCAAGGCGAUGAUACAUAGCCGACCUGAGAGGGUGAUCGGCCACAUUGGGACUGAGACACGGCCCAAACUCCUACGGGAGGCAGCAGUAGGGAAUCUUCGGCAAUGGACGAAAGUCUGACCGAGCAACGCCGCGUGAGUGAAGAAGGUUUUCGGAUCGUAAAACUCUGUUGGUAGAGAAGAACGUUGGUGAGAGUGGAAAGCUCAUCAAGUGACGGUAACUACCCAGAAAGGGACGGCUAACUACGUG
rnacentral:rRNA from 1 species